rnacentral:rRNA from 1 species
GGGGAGCAGCCCAGAGCCUGAAUCAGUAUGUGUGUUAGUGGAAGCGUCUGGAAAGGCGCGCGAUACAGGGUGACAGCCCCGUACACAAAAAUGCACAUGCUGUGAGCUCGAUGAGUAGGGCGGGACACGUGGUAUCCUGUCUGAAUAUGGGGGGACCAUCCUCCAAGGCUAAAUACUCCUGACUGACCGAUAGUGAACCAGUACCGUGAGGGAAAGGCGAAAAGAACCCCGGCGAGGGGAGUGAAAAAGAACCUGAAACCGUGUACGUACAAGCAGUGGGAGCACGCUUAGGCGUGUGACUGCGUACCUUUUGUAUAAUGGGUCAGCGACUUAUAUUCUGUAGCAAGGUUAACCGAAUAGGGGAGCCGAAGGGAAACCGAGUCUUAACUGGGCGUUAAGUUGCAGGGUAUAGACCCGAAACCCGGUGAUCUAGCCAUGGGCAGGUUGAAGGUUGGGUAACACUAACUGGAGGACCGAACCGACUAAUGUUGAAAAAUUAGCGGAUGACUUGUGGCUGGGGGUGAAAGGCCAAUCAAACCGGGAGAUAGCUGGUUCUCCCCGAAAGCUAUUUAGGUAGCGCCUCGUGAAUUCAUCUCCGGGGGUAGAGCACUGUUUCGGCAAGGGGGUCAUCCCGACUUACCAACCCGAUGCAAACUGCGAAUACCGGAGAAUGUUAUCACGGGAGACACACGGCGGGUGCUAACGUCCGUCGUGAAGAGGGAAACAACCCAGACCGCCAGCUAAGGUCCCAAAGUCAUGGUUAAGUGGGAAACGAUGUGGGAAGGCCCAGACAGCCAGGAUGUUGGCUUAGAAGCAGCCAUCAUUUAAAGAAAGCGUAAUAGCUCACUGGUCGAGUCGGCCUGCGCGGAAGAUGUAACGGGGCUAAACCAUGCACCGAAGCUGCGGCAGCGACGCUGAUGCGUUGUUGGGUA